rnacentral:lncRNA from 1 species
UUUUUUUUUUUUGAUGGCAUAUCUUAUUCAAAUAUCACCAGUUUAUCACACUAACGUCCUUUUCUUUUCCAGGAUCCUAUAAAUGAUCAUACAUUGCAUUUAGCUGUUAUUUCUCCUUAGUCUCUUCCAAUCUCCACAGUCUUCUUAUGGUAAGUAAUAGUUUUCAACUGCUGUUAUAAAAAACUACCACAAAUUUAACUUAAAAACAACACAUAUUUAUCAUCUCACAAUUUCUUUGAACCCAGAGUCUGCACACAGUUUAGUUGGAUGCUCUCAUUAGGCUGAUCUCAUAAACUGUAAACAAGGUAUUGGCUGGGAUGUGUUUUCAUUUAGAGGUUCAACUGGGGAAGAAUCUACUUCAGAGUUCAUUCAGAUUGUUGGCAGAAUUCAUUUCCUUGCAGCUAUGGGGCUGAGGGCCCCUUUUGCUGGCUGUCCACUGGUGGACAACCUCAGGUCCUAGAGGCCACCUGCAGUUUCUGGCAACAAUGGGCUUCCCCAGCAUUGCCACUUACUUCAUUGAGCCCACGAAGAGAGUCUCUAGCUCUAGUCCACUAUAAUGGAGUCUUACAUGACAUAACAUAACCACAACAGUGACUUGCCAUUUCUUUUCUUUUCUCUUACCAUAAAAGUUAACCUUAUCACAGGAGUGACAUCCCCCUUACCUUUGCUAUUUUCUAUUGGUUAAAGCAAGUAACAGGUUCUGCUUGUACUCCAGGCAUGAGGAUUAUGCAAUGGCACAGACACGGAGUGGGAAGCACUCAGGUGGUCACUCUAAAGUCUGUCCACCACACCUAAUCUUCAUGACCUUUUCAUUUUGGAGGAGUACCAAUCAUGUUUUUUUGUCAAAUAUCCUCCCACUUGGUUUUUCUAAUAUUUUGUAAUUGGAAUGAGUUUGUGCAUUUUUUGGCAGUAUCACAGCAGUCUCGUGUCCUUCUCUUCACAUAAGAAAGGGUUCAUGACACUAAUGCCUUAUUACUGGUGAUGUUAACCUUGAUGGCUUUAUUCAACUGCUUCUGCUGGGUUUCUCUACUGUAAAGUUAUGACCUUUCCCUUUGUUGUUAAAAAGCAUCUUGGGUAGUGGGGAAUAUUUUAGACACUCUGCAAAUCCUUUUUCUCCUCAAAUUUUCACCCACUAAUUUUAGCAUCUAUCAAUUGAUUGCGUCUGAAACAAUUAUUACCAUGGUGUUUGCCUAAAUGGUCAUUUCCUAUGUUCCUCUUUCCUUCUACACUUAACCAGAAUUCUAUCAUAAAGAAGAGCUGUCCCUUGUUCCCCAGGAAAAGAUGUUUUAAACAGAACAUAUAUGCAAUAACCAUACAAGAAAAAUAUUGGUAAAUAGCUCUGUUAAAAUCAGGGACUUCUGUUCAUUUUAUCAUUAAGAAAGUAAGAAAGCUAAUGAAAUAUUUUUUUCUUUCUCUGUUUCUCUCUUUCCAUACACACACACACAUACACACACAGAGAGGCAUAUGCAUAUGUUUAUAUAUACUCGCAAAGGACUUGUAUUCAAAAUAUACACAAAAUUCCUACAAAUCAAUAGGAAAAUGACUAAGAAAGACUAAAAAUGGACAAAAGACUUGAAGAGACCUUCAUAAGAGUAUAUCAAAAUGGGCAGUAUCAUACAAAAAGAUGCUUAUAUCAUUACUUAUCAGACAAAUGCAAAUUAAAAUCACAAUGAGAUACUACUACACACACAUCAGAAUGACUAAAAUUAAAAUUAUUAACAAUAGCAAGUGAUGGCCAGCUUGAGAAGUAACUGUAUCCUGCAGUGGAGUGCAAAUUAAGUCAACCACUUCCACCCCUAAGUAGAUAUCCAGGAAAAACAAAAACAUAUGCCCACAAAAGAACUUGUACAAGAGUGUUCAUAGAUGGUUUAUUCAUAAUAGCCAAAUAUGAGAAACAACCCAUCAUCAUGAGAAUGAAUAAAGUGUGGUGUGGUCACACAAGGGAGUUCUCAUAAUGUGAUCAUAUUCUGGCAGGGCUGCUAGAGACAGAAUGAUGUCUCCUCCUAUGAACUCCCAAAGCAGGUCACCUGGAUUUCGCUAGUGGCAUCUCACAUCUUCUUUUUUUAUUUUUUUAAAGAAUUUCUUUAUUUAUUUAUGAGAGACACACAGAGAGAGAGGCAGAGGAAGAAGCAGGCCCCCUGUGGGGAGCCUGAUGCAGGACUCAAUCUAGGACCCCAGAAUCACCACCUGAGCCAAAGGCAGACCCUCAAGCUGAGCCACCCAGGUUCCCCUUACAUCUUCUAUCUUACUUAUUACUAUUCUGAUUUCAUUUCCUUACUGGAUAACAAGUCAUUUGAGGAGAGCAACUAUAUCUUUCUGUCAUUGUAUUAGACUGAGUACAAGUAUAUUGACAUAUUGUAAAUGUCUGGUAUUUUACUUGAAUUUCAAAACUAGAAAUUUAUCCUUAGGGACUGAUUGUAAAAGGACAUAAAUAUCCAUGCAUAAUGAUGUUCAUUAUAGACUAAUUCUAGUUGGUAGUCAAAAAUUAGAAACAUAAUAGCUAACAGUAGACAACAGGUUAAAUGAAUUAUGGAGAGAAGGACUUGGGGGCCCUGAGAAGGGUGAUCCAUCUGCAUGGCCUCACACAGAAUUCACGGAUUUGCCACUAUUAGGCAGGACAUUUCAGCAGAAGGAAAAGAAAGGGGCUCAUAUCUUUAAAAUUCAAGUGUAUUUAAUGAAUAAUGAGGAAACACAAACUCACCUGAACUUUAAUUUUUAGAUGUCUAACAAAAAUUCUUUUCUCUCAGUAUCCCCCUCCCCCCUAUUUUUAGAGACAGGUAGCACUGGGAAAAGACAAGGAAAUUAUGAAACAUCAGGGUUUUCUUGGAUAGCACAGCAACUUGGAAAACCCUGCAUGACUACACACUCUCACCUAGUCCCAAACACACACAGCCAGAAUAGUAGAAACGAUACUGGAAUAGUGUUGACCUUGCAGUAUAAGAGAGGCCAGGAUCACUGACGUCUAGGGAGAAAUCGGUGUCUAAUUCACAGCAGGUUGCUGGGGCCAGAGUUCUGGAAAUGCUGUG